ACUUAUUCAGACUUUUACGAGUAUGUGUGCCUACUGCUGCCCCAGUGAGAGCUGGGCAGGGCUGGGCGUGGAUGAGUCACAGUGGGCACACUCCCCGCAGGAGCUUGGGCAGGGUGGGCAGGCGACUUAGAAAAGGGACCAAGGCACCUUGGCUGGAGUGUCCUAGGGGCUUCUUGAAGUAGCUGGCAGUGAUUCGGCCACCUCUCAUUUGUCCUUCAGGUGAAGUUGGUCUUGAGGCUCUCACUCCCAAGAAACUGGACCUCCUUCCAACCCAGGCUUGUCCUGCCUGCCCCGCAGACUUACUGAGCACCUACUGUAUGCCAGACGGAGCAGCUGCUGCCCCUCUGCCACCAGAUCGAGAUCCUGCUCCUAGACAUGUGCCCCAAGGAGGAACCCAGGAACCUUUAGCUCCUAGGAAUGAGUGGUAAAUUUUCAAACACCAAGAAGCCUAGCAAAAAAAAGGGCUGCUUUAGACAGUUGGGGUAUAUCAAAAGGAGAAAUAGCAUCAACUUUGCCAUCACCUAGACCUGGGUUCAAGUCUCUGUUCAGGCCAUUGACUGGUACGCAACCAUGACCUUGGACAAAUCACUUUACCUCCCUGAGCCUCCAUUUCUUCAUCUGUAGAAUGGGGAUAAAUAGCCUCUGCUUUACAGGGGUGCUGUAAGGAUCUGAGAUGGAGACUCUACAGUGCCUGGCAUCUAGUAAGUGCUUAAUGAGUGCAGACCCAAAACGUGAUGGAGGUCAUGUAUUCUGCCUUUCCA
rnacentral:lncRNA from 1 species